rnacentral:rRNA from 1 species
GUGAGGAAUAUUGCGCAAUGGAGGCAACUCUGACGCAGCCAUGCCGCGUGCAGGAAGAAGGCGCUACGCGUUGUAAACUGCUUUUAACCGGGAAGAAACCCCAGGACGUGUCCUGGGUUGACGGUACCGGAGGAAUAAGCACCGGCUAACUUCGUGCCAGCAGCCGCGGUAAUACGAAGGGUGCAAGCGUUAUCCGGAUUCAUUGGGUUUAAAGGGUGCGUAGGCGGAGCGUUAAGUCAGUGGUGAAAUCCUGCAGCUUAACUGUAGACUUGCCAUUGAUACUGGCGCUCUUGAGUGCACUUGAAGUGGGCGGAAUGUGCCGUGUAGCGGUGAAAUGCUUAGAUAUGGCACAGAACACCAAUUGCGAAGGCAGCUCACUAAGGCGAUACUGACGCUGAGGCACGAAAGCGUGGGGAUCGAACAGGAUUAGAAACCCGAGUAGUCC